AAAAAAAAAAAAAUGCUGUAACUAAAGCUGUAUCUGGGCCAUUUUCUUCUUUUGCUCAGAAAGUAAUACCAGAAAAGUGAUCUACUACCUGCCAGGAGAGAGGCCAGUCAAGCCUAAAGACCUGCUCAUAUUCUGUUUCUGUAGAAAUCCCCCCGUCUCAGAGCUAUAAGCAAUCUCUUUCAUGCAGUGAGUUUAUUGCUGUAGCAGAAUGAACGCAUGUACUUAACUUUUGGAUCUUCUAGAAACACUCCCUACUCAGUCAAGCAAGUUCUUUUUUGACAGUGGAUAGCAUCGUGGGAACAAAACAUUCAGAAUGUGUCCAUUGUCUCUAGUACAAGGCAGGUGGAAACUUUGGCAUAUUAAUUCCUCUGGGGCUCUGCAGGUCUCAGGUGGGGAGGGAGGACCUGCCCAUCUGGAUGUGACAUUGCAAGGGGAGCCUCCUGUUUGCUCUGCAUUGCAAGAUGCUAAGCAGAGGUUGUUUGCAUUCCUUUCUUCUAGAAGCUCUCUUCCCUUGACCUUAUAACCCGGGAGCAUCCUACCACUUUGAAGGAAUGAGCUUCUAUCAGUGCCAAUCUCACUGGGUCCUUAGAGAAAACACAGACAAGGGUAAGGCAGCACUAGAGAUUAUUAGGACAGCCUUCGGACAUCUGUAGACUCACAGGCACCACAGUGAUCUGCUGCACAUUGUAACUAAGGAGCUAAUGUGACUGCUGAGGAGGAUGGGUACUUUCACUUCCCUUGGGACCAGCCUGGUGUCUGCCUGUGGUCAGAGAACAACUUGUGGAUUGCUCCAGCCCUGCUACUGGAUCAGUGCUGUGGUUUACACGGGAAGGACUUUGUCCCUGGCCUUCUCUCCUCUCCUCCACUUGUAAAUGGGCUAGUUGGGGCUCAUGGUGACAUAGAUGGAUGUAUUUUUAACUGAAUUUUGUUUUAGUUGAUGCCUUAAAGGAGGAAACUUGUCCAUCUUUAUGUAGUACAGUGUGACAUUCACAUGCAUGCACACGCUGUGAGGUUUAUGCACUAUGGUGUGACAUUCACACAGGUGUGUAUACUGUGAAGUUUAUGCACUACUGUAUGACAUCCGCACGUGUGCACGCGCUGUGAGGUUUAUUCAGUACUGUGUGACAUUCACACGUGUGCACACGCUGUGAGGUUUAUGCACUACACAGGUGUGCACGCUGUGAAGUUUAUGCAGUUUAGAUGACUCCCCUCAAACACCUUUUUCUGUUUUGCAGAGAAAACGCUGCAACCCCUUCUCACAGCUUUAGAACUGGCAUGGUCUCAUGGCUGUCUCUUUGUAAAUAAUAUGCAGCAGCACACAUGGUCCUUUCCUUCCUGUUCAGUUCUAACUGUCCAGCAGUCUCUUCCUUCCGCAUUCCCUUAGUGCUUAGCCAUUUUUCUUUCUGAGGUUGUUGGUGUAAGCUUGGCUGACUUUGUGAUAUGUGACUUUUUUCCCCCUGACCACUUCUAUUUUUGUUGUUGCUUAUAUUGUCAACUCAGUUUAAAAUAUAAAUAAUUACUCUUCAGAGUAAUAUUUCCAUACUGCCACAUUGCCCUGGGCUUCUCCAUAACUAUGUUUUGUUUCUUAAGGAAGACUAUUGACUUGAUACAUGUUCUAAAAAUUCAGGAACUGAGAAGUUGGCCUGGACGUUGUGUGGGAUGAGUUGAAAGAGUGCUGAUUUGCCUGAUCCCAGCAUUCCUCAGUAGAGACAGACUGUCAGGGUUCAGUAGCAGCCUGGAUCCUAAAUUAUUUCUCUGGACAGGACCCCAACAUAAACUAUCUCUCUGGACCGGCAUGGAGGCGUGGGAAUAAAGACACAACUCACAUGGCUUUGGCGCGAGGGAGAUUCUCCAUGAUCCCUCAUGAAAUCCUGAGUUCACAUCCUGAGAAAUUCCUCCUGUUUAUUCUCCAAACAGCCUUAUAUAUCAAAACAUAAACUGAGGGGGAAAUACAUUAGCGUUCUGUUUCCUAGGUAACCGGGUGAAUGGCUUUUAGCCGGGUCCACAUCUACCUAUGCCUGCUGUCACUUCUUGCUCAGUAUGCUAGCUCAGUCAUGUAGGCUGAAUUAGCACCUCUUUCCAGGCAUCCUCCAAAUUACAAAGAAAGGAGCAAAACAACAUUCUGACCUUUUUCUAGGGUAGCGACAGCCUGUCUGGAAGGGUACGUGACCACCUCAAGUGUGGCCUCUGACUCGAGAUUCUGGCUGCCAUACCAUAUAGAAAUAUGGGCCUACACCAGACUUUACUCCUUUUCCUGUAGUUCUGCCAUGAAGUCCAGACAGCAACAGGCACAGAAUGUAGCCUGCAAUGACCCGAUGAACACUGACAGAGUCCUUGGGGAAAGAAAAGCAUGCAGGGUCGGAUAGAGGUCGCUACCAUUCAGAGCCUCAGGACUAAGACGAUGACUGUAGCCGUGACUUGAAGUUUUCAGUCUCCUGAUUCCUGGUGCAGUGUUCUAGGCCCACUGAUGUCCAAAAAGAUACAGAACACAUUUGCAUAAAGAACCUUGAACACACAGGUUAACCCCAGUGAAACAGUUGAGGAUGCAGUAAGCCAUCUUUCCCCCGCUUAGGUGCUUUUGCAUCCUGACUCCACCAGAAGAUGGAGAGGGCACAGGAAGUUCAUUCACUCAGAAAACAAAUGUGUCCCACUAUAUAUAGAAUGUGCAAGGAAAACAGAGUAGCUUAAAACAUUUCUAGAACAUUCUAAGGGAUGGAGCAAUAUCACUGGGCUAUGUGGAGUCAACUACUUAAAUAUUUUCAGAUUUAAAGAGAGGUGACUGAGAGCACAGUGCUGUUCCAGGGAGCAGGCACCAACAGCCUGUCUCCCCAGUAAGGGGACUCCAACCACAGCAGCCUGUGAACUAUUCGGUCAUUCUGGCACCCUUCGCAGACAGGCUUUCUUCCUAAGCCACAACAGGUCAUCACAGUAAGGAAUAAUAUGCCUGGAGUCCAGGCAGCCCAGGGGAACUCUCAGCUACUACCCACAAUUCAGUUUCUUUAGAAUACAAAUGCUGUGAAUGUCGUGUAUGCACACACCUAGGGUCACAGAAGCCUGUGCAUCCAUUUAGCCACAAAGAGGCUCAUGGCCUUCCCAGCGGAUCAAACAUAAUGCACAGAUUGGAAAAUCACAGUUGCUAUUAGCAGCAAAGUCUUUCAUGAAGGUUAAUUUAUGGAUUUUUACCUAGAUAAAUCAAGUUGCUAGAUUAGUUCUCAUCCAUUGUUAAAUGUCUGUAAAAUCAGGACGACUGCCUAUAAAACUGGAGAAAGAAUACAGAGGCAGAAAUGUGGGGGAAACAUCGAUUUUGAUGCCAGUUGCAAACAAAGAUUAAACAAACGCAUCCAGCCUUGGCACACGUAUGUGGACACACAUAUACACAUAAAUUAGAGCAAACAGAAAAAGCACUUCGUCUUUUUCCCUACAAGCAGAAAGAAAACCCAUGUAAGCCGCUGUUAUCCACCCUCCUCCGACUCCACGCCACGGCUUUCCCUGGACUCUGAACUCUCUUGUGCACCUCAGUCUCCAUUUCUCUGGCAGAUUAUUGCAGAGGAAUCAUAUCCCAACUUGACCUUAAAUCCGUGUUCUAACUUUGAAGAUUAAUUUUGUCUCCAAAAUAUCAUUCCAACAGUUUUCCAGAGAGGGCCGUGCAGAUAUUCUCCUGGUUAUGGCAUCUCGCUGGCUAGAUUUCUGGAAGUAGCAUUUUCACUGCCUUCAAGGAUUAUUAACAUAUAAUCCUACCUGAGGAGAUUAGUGUUACAGUGGGUGGGUCUGGUUCCAGGCUUCUGUGCCUUAGCUGGUCUGACUCCUCCUUUCCCUCAAAGCUAUUCAAAUCCCCACUAAAUGAGAGGAAAUACAAGUAUUUGGUCUUACAAAGGUAAGUCGGCGUGGUUGAUUGGCGUGGCAGUCACUCUCCUUUUAAUCCCUGCCCCUCACCUGUCCUUGUGGACUUCAGCAGCAGCUUUCACCUUGUCCCGAGUUUCCCAGCUUUGCUCCACCGAGUUUUCCCUCUUUAUGCAGAGGUUACUUCCUUUAGCUUUAUGACUACUGAGGUCUCAACAUACUCUUUGAAGCUACAGAACCACUUUGGAGCUUAGCUUUUUGGAAAAGGAGAAAUAAUAAAUGAAAAGUGAAGGAGAGUCAGAGAGAAAAAAAUUGGCACUGCUCUUUAGUCUUUCUUUUAGUUCCCUGUAUUUUUAUUACAUCACCAUGAAAUAGAAUGUAACUAAAGGGUAGUAAACAAAUGCCCACCAUUAAACACCAUCACAUUUCGGAAAAAACAUUAUAAAAGUUGAGAGCACAUUGUUUUCCCAGAUGAAGCACAGACAGACUGUCAGGAUGGUUAAGCUGCACAGGGAUAGAGUAAGAGACAGUGGUGGUGAUGGUGGGGCUUUUGGUGGGGGGGAGAAGUAUGGAGUAUGGGUAAUACUUCAGACAUUUUGGAGGUAUGGCGUAUGGGUAAUACUUCAGACAUUUUGGGGGUAUGGAGUGUGGGUCAUACAUCAGACAUUUGGGGGCGUGGGUAAUACAUCAGACAUUUUGGGGGUAUGGAGUAUGGGUAAUACAUCAGACAUUUUGCAUUUGGGGGGAUAUGGAGUGUGGGUAAUACAUCUGACAUUUUGGGGUAUGGAGUGUGGGUAAUACAUCAGAUAUUUUGGGGCUAUGGGGUGUGGGUAAUGCAUCAGACAUUUUGGGGGUAUGGAGUAUGGGUGAUAUAUCAGACGUUUUGGGGGUAUGGAGUGUGUGUAAUACAUCAGACGUUUUGGGGGGUAUGGAGUGUGGACAGUUCAUCAGACUGCCUGCCUGGACAUGUGUUAAGAUACUAAUUCCUGAACAAUUGGCUGCCAGUGAAGGUAAGUGUCAUCAGUUCAUCACUGUCAAGCAUAGUAAGAAGUCAGUAUUUAAGAAGAAGAAUGACAAAUAAGAAAUAUUUGUUUAAUAAAAUAGAGUUAUGACAAA